GACGAACGCUGGCGGCGUGCUUAACACAUGCAAGUCGAACGAUGAAGCUGGAGCUUGCUCCGGUGGAUUAGUGGCGAACGGGUGAGUAACACGUGAGCAAUCUGCCCUUGACUCUAGGAUAACUGUGGGAAACUGUAGCUAAUACCGGAUACGAGAUUUGGAGGCAUCUCCGGAUCUGGAAAGAAUUUCGGUCAAGGAUGAGCUCGCGGCCUAUCAGCUUGUUGGUGAGGUAAUGGCUCACCAAGGCGACGACGGGUAGCCGGCCUGAGAGGGUGACCGGCCACACUGGGACUGAGACACGGCCCAGACUCCUACGGGAGGCAGCAGUGGGGAAUAUUGCACAAUGGGCGAAAGCCUGAUGCAGCAACGCCGCGUGAGGGAUGAAGGCCUUCGGGUUGUAAACCUCUUUUAGUAGGGAAGAAGCGAAAGUGACGAUACCUACAGAAAAAGCACCGGCUAACUACGUGCCAGCAGCCGCUGUAA
rnacentral:rRNA from 1 species